GUUCUUUGUAUCUGGGGGUGGGCGUCCGGGUACACACCGGCUCACUCCUUGGCGGCCGCUUAUUGGGGCUCGCUCGGGCCACUUUGGAGGUGGGGUGCCCCCGGCCUCUCGGCCUGGGGCUCGGUCACUCAGGCACAGCUGGCUGCCGGCGGAGCUCACGGGCGCGUCACUGCAACUCCCCCUGGCUUCUGCUCCGCGGCUGCUGAAUGAGCCCUCAUCUGGGACUCUCCUUAGCUCUUACUGGGACAGUGGCGCGGCUGCCCCUCUGUGGGUCUUCCUUGGUCUCUUGUGUUCUGGGGGCCUCUGGAUGUCUGGAGUUUUGAUCUCCUCCAUACCUGCUUGAUACCAUAGAGGACAGGGCUGUGGCUCCCCACACUCUCUAGCAGAUCAUUACAUGGAGAAACCUUUGGAAUGCAAGCAUGCUGAUCCACACAGGUAUGCACACAGAUGUACACAUGGGUAUUCACAGAUGCGGACUACAGCUUUCUUGGUUGCUGCCUCAAAGCACACUGUGCGCUGUCUAUCUUGCGUGCUGCACAAUAUCGUUUAUUAUUUAGUAACUAUUGAUAUCUAUGACUAGCUAGUUUAUUGUGAUGGUGCUUUUUUUUAAUUAUUAUUAUGUUGCUCUUUGUUGUUUGCUGUCUCCCCUGUUUUUUUUGUUUUUCUUUCUCUCCAUACAGGUGACCCAGGAGUUUUUUUUUUUUUUUUCUCUCUUCCCCCCCUUCUCACCGUCUCUUCUCCCCUUUGGUUUUCUUUCUUCCUCUCCCCCUCUUUCUUUCAUUCUUUCCCCCUGUCCUAUUAAAAAAAAAAAAAAAAAAAAAAAGGAUGACAAAGGAUGAACUGAAGCUCCGCCAUCACGUGAUGUCACAUGCUGCUGUUUCUGAUGUCACUUCCAAAAAAAAAAAAAAAAAAAAAAAAAAAAAAGUUUGCUGACGACACCGUCGUGGUGGGCCUGAUCUCUGAUAACAACGAGACGGCCUACCUGAAGGAGAUUAGGAAUCUGGAGAACUGGUGCCAGAGGAACAACCUCCUUCUAAACGUCAGUAAGACAAAGGAGCUGAUAGUGGACUUCAGCACUAAGCAGGAGAGGAACUACCAGACCCCCGUCAUCAACGAGUGCCCAGUGGAGAGAGUGGACAGCUUCAAAUACCUCGGAGUUCACAUCACGCAGGACCUGUCAUGGUCCUGUCACAUCAACACCGUGGUGAAAAAGGCCCGACAGCGUCUCUACCACCUCAGACGCUUGAGAGACUUCCAACUGCCCUCCAAGGUGCUCAGGAACUUUUACUCGUGCACCAUAGAGAGCAUCCUGGCGGGAAACAUCUUAACCUGGUUCGGGAACAGCACCAUGCAGGACAGACGAGCUCUACAGAGGGUUGUGCGGUCAGCUGAGCGCACCAUCCGCUCC
ensembl:lncRNA